rnacentral:rRNA from 1 species
CCUACGGGUGACAGCAGUGGGGGAUAUUGCACAAUGGGGGAAACCCUGAUGCAGCGACGCCGCGUGUGGGAAGACGGUCCUCUGGAUUGUAAACCACUGUCCCCAGGGACGAAGAUGACGGUACCUGGGGAGGAAGCUCCGGCUAACUACGUGCCAGCAGCCGCGGUAAUACGUAGGGAGCGAGCGUUGUCCGGAAUUACUGGGUGUAAGGGGAGCGUAGGCGGGACUGCAAGUUGGGUGUCAAAUCUACCGGCUCAACCGGUAGCCGCACUCAAAACUGCAGUUCUUGAGUGAAGUAGAGGCAGGCGGAAUUCCUAGUGUAGCGGUGAAAUGCGUAGAGAUUAGGAGGAACACCAGUGGCGAAGGCGGCCUGCUGGGCUUUUACUGACGCUGAGGCUCGAAAGUGUGGGGAGCAAACAGGAUUAGAUACCCGGGUAGUC